GUGGCUUACCAGGGCCACAGAGAGGCUACGAGCAGGACAUGUCCUCUUCUGUGCCAGAGUUGUGCCCUGCCUGCAUCCGCUGACUUGUCUUUGUGGUGGGUUUUGUGAAUUCACAACCCACCCAUCAGAAAACCCUGCCAGAUGAACCUGGGGCUGUUUGUAGAGUCUGUCCAAGGUAUGCAGGAGGGGCUCUCUGAGGAAAUGAUUGGCUUUUGUUUGGUUCACUCUCCAUUCCCAGAGGCAAGCAUAGUACCUGGCGCUCAGUACUCACUGGUGCUCAGUACUCACUGGUGCUCAGUACUCACUGGCGCUCAGUACUCACUGAAUGAAUGCUGUUGGAAUGAUUGCGUGGAAGAACUGAAUGGAUGAAUUUCCCUUCCUUUGGGUCCCUUCCCAGGAGUCCCCUCCCCAUUUGAGGCAGGGACUCUGUUUGACACCUAUGUGCCAUCCUUGGCUUUUGCCUGUGGCCAAGCAAUUUUUACAACAGAAGGGUAAGCGGCACAUUAUCCCCAUUUUCCACAUGGGAAAACUGAGGCCUGGAGGAGCUGAGGAAGUUGCUGAAGGUCACACAGCCGGUGAGACGCAGCUGUGCACUUGGGGGCUAGUGUGUGCCCCCGGGGCUGUGCUCACCCUACCUGUAGUUGCCUCUUCCCUCAAGAGGCUUCCAGUCUAGUCAGGGAGGUGGAACAGGUGCAAUCAGGCCAGGUGGUCAUGCCAGGAGGCUGGAAACCAGCCAGUGGGAGAGGAGUUUGCACACCCAGGACAGAGGCUGUGGGAGGAGGGGGGCUGAAGUGUGAACGCGGGGAGGCUGAGAUAAAGGCACGGGCAGGUGAGGGGCGUGGGGAGGCCACUCUUCACAGAGCGAGCGUGGAGGGAAUGACUCACACCUGAGGCAGGCGAGGCACAGCUGCACCCACAGGUGUGAUCCCCUGAAAACACAGCAGCUUGGCAGCCAGAGGCUAAGUGGAGACCCAAGGAGAGGCGGCUCUGUGGCCCUGAGGUCCCCGGGGAGAGGGUUGUCAGGUACAGCUCCUCCUCCCUAAGUUGGCACCUGGGUCCCCUCCUUGGCUGCCCUCUCCUCAUCCUUACAGCCUGAGCUCCAGAUGCUUGAAAGAGGACGGGGGAGAGGGCAGGAAGGGGUGUGAAGGCCUGCAGAGAGGGUGAGGUGAGGGCCCACGGGAACGGGAAGGUACCAGCCUAGAGGUGGGGCUGUCCAGUGAACCCCCAGCCAGGAGGCUCUCUCUCCAUCUCCUAGGGCCCCUGCGGGUCCCCUUUCCAGGCAGAGAAGUUCCAGGCAGAGAAGUUCUGCACUGGCGAGAAACCAGCGCUCAGGAAGGGAGUUGGCGGGAGGAGGGUGGCCUUGGUUUGGGAUUUGUGGGUGUCAAGGCCGCAUCUGCGCCAGCUUCCGAGCCUGGAGUAGGUGGAGAAGCCAGGCGGACCGCAGACGCACCCAGGCAGCCCACCCUGCCCAGGGCUUGGGGAUGAGGAGCGGGAGAGCGCGGCCGGCGUGGGAAAGCUUUAUGGGGCUGCCCCCUCGGCCGUCUGCGAACUGGGGCGCGGGGCCGUCACUGGACCGGCUCCGCUGUGCCCCGGGCGGUCGGGGGCAUGCGGGCACUCCGGGGAGGAUGAGGGCGCCACCGGUUGGACGGCCGCAGCCUGCAGGGGGCCCUGGGGACAGCCUGCCCCAUCCCCCCGGCGGGCUCGGGCCAGGUGGCAGCGCCUGGGCUCGCCGCGCGGAGGCGGCGGCUUCCCGGGCCAGGGGCGGCGGCAGGGGCGGCCCCGGGAUCACAUGGGCGGAGGCAGGUCCCAGGGCCCCGGGCGGACUCUCCCCAGAGUCGGGCAGACCGCAGCGGGAGCGGCGGCGUCUCCUCGCCCUCUCUCCCUCCCGGGCCUGGGCGCCCAGCCCGACAGGUGAGCGGCAGCCAGGUGAGCGUGCCCACCUGCACCCCUCCGCGCGGCCCGCCAUCCCCGGCGCCCGGUUCCUCUCCGCGCCCCUAUCGGCGCGGGACCCUGGCCUCGUUCCUGGCCCGGCUCCUUGGAGCCUCGCAUCGGCGGGGGCGCCCCCGCGGGUUGCACUCUCCCCGGCCGGCGCGCUCCUCCUCCAGCCCCCGGCCCGCAGGGUACUUUGCCCUCAGAGCGAAGGAGGCACCAGAACUGGGAGAGCCGGGCCAUCCAGCUGGGCACCUCCCCGCGGCGCCCGCAGCGCGGAGUCCACUGACCGGCUCAAAGGUAUGGCGCUCACAGUGGAUGUGGCCGGGCCAGCGCCCUGGGGCUUCCGUAUCACAGGGGGCAGGGAUUUCCACACGCCCAUCAUGGUGACCAAGGUGGCUGAGCGGGGCAAAGCCAAGGACGCUGACCUCCGGCCUGGAGACAUAAUCGUAGCCAUCAACGGGGAAAGCGCGGAGGGCAUGCUGCAUGCCGAGGCCCAGAGCAAGAUCCGCCAGAGCCCCUCGCCUCUGCGGCUGCAGCUGGACCGGUCUCAGGCUGCGUCUCCAGGGCAGACCAAUGGGGACAGCUCCUUGGAAGUGCUGGCGACUCGCUUCCAGGGCUCUGUGAGGACACACACUGAGAGUCAUUCCUCCCUAAGGUCCUCCUACUCCAGCCCAACCUCCCUCAGCCCGAGGGCUGGCAGCCCCUUCUCACCACCACCCUUCAGUAGCCCCCUCGCUGGAGAGGCGGCCAUCAGCCGCAGUUUCCAGAGUCUGGCGUGUUCCCCGGGCCUCCCUGCUGCUGACCGCCUGUCCUACUCAGGCCGCCCCGGAAGCCGACAGGCCGGCCUUGGCCGAGCUGGCGACUCGGCGGUGCUGGUGCUGCCGUCUUCCCCAGGCCCUCGUUCCUCCAGGCCCAGCCCCGGCAAGGGACCCUCAUUCCUGGCUGCCGCCCACCCAACAGCGUGGACUUGGAAGGGGGAAGCCUCCUCCUGGACGAGGACUCGGAAGUCUUCAAGAUGCUCCAGGAAAAUCGCGAGGGUCGGGCGGCCCCCCGACAGUCCAGCUCCUUUCGGCUCUUGCAGGAAGCCCUGGAGGCUGAGGAGAGAGGUGGCACGCCAGCCUUCCUGCCCAGCUCACUGAGCCCCCAGUCCUCCCUGCCCGCCUCCAGGGCCCUGGCCACCCCUCCCAAGCUCCACACUUGUGAGAAGUGCAGUACCAGCAUCGCGAACCAGGCUGUGCGCAUCCAGGAGGGCCGGUAUCGCCACCCCGGCUGCUACACCUGCGCCGACUGUGGGCUGAACCUGAAGAUGCGCGGGCACUUCUGGGUGGGUGAUGAGCUGUACUGUGAGAAGCAUGCCCGCCAGCGCUACUCCGCACCUGCCACCCUCAGCUCUCGGGCUUGAGCCCGCCAUGCCCUCAGCCUGCCUCCCUGCUGGGCCAGGGUCAUGCCUAUAUAAGCUGGCAUGGCAGGGACAGUGGUGAGCAGUUGCUCUUACAUGAGCUAAGUUUGGAGACCUGAGGCCCCUUUGUCCUCACUGGGUGGGCCAACGUCUGGGACCUGUGUUGGACUGUGGGAGUCUCACCCUUACCUUGCCAGGCCUCUCCCCUGCAGGACUGGUACUGCACUAGACUGAGGUGGCCACUGCCUUUGAUGAACCUUUGUGUGCCAGGGUCUAAGUAGGGUCGAACACAGAAGUGGGAAGGAGAGAGGUGGGCCAGGGGCUAAUGGUGUCACUGUGGAAAGUUUUUGACUUAUGAGCUGUAUAAACAUAUGAAUACGGACAAAAUAAA